CCGGUGUCUGGCCUGUGUUUGUGGGCAGUGCGGGCGGGAGGAGCGCGGCCCAAAAUGGCGCCAAAAUGUGCGGCCUGGUGAGCUGUGAGGUGGAGACUUCUCUGGUGAACUAAUUGGUUUUAACCCUUUUGUUUCACUCGUCGAAGGAUGGGAGUGUGCCCUGGAGACCCUUGCUACUGCCAAAUGGUGGUGUAGGGUGGGCAGGAUCCUAAUGCAAAGUCCCCAUGGUGAUUGUGGUGACACUGGGUGGCCAUGGCGGGCAUGGGGAUGUUGGCAGGUAGGAGCAGGUUGUUGUGUGGGGUCUGGGCCAUGGCUCUGCCCAGCAUGAGAACCCAAAUCCCACAAACUAAACUGCAUUUUUCCCAUUGACUUGGUGUCUUCCCCUUCUGGGACCAACCUCUGAAGUGGUUUGGGUCAUUACAGAUCACAGAUGCAUCUUUUGUCUGCAUUAACUAUGUAUAUACAUGGGAUGUUGUUUUUUUUCUUUGUGGUUUUCCUACUCUUCAGUACUGAGACCAUCAGCAGCAAGAGCUGGACUUUCACAAUGGUUGGUAUGAUUUUUAUCCCCUCAUCUUCAAAUCAUAGAAUCACUAAGGCUGAGAAGAACACUAAGAUCAUCCAGUCCAACCAACAAUCCAUGCCUGUGACUGCUCUAGACCACGUCCCUCACUGCAGUAUCUACCAUUUUUUUUUAACACCUCCGGGAACAGCAACUCCACCACCUCCAUGGGCAGCCUGUGCCAGUGCCUGACCACUCUGAGAAGAAUUUCUUCCUAAUAUCCAACCUGAACCUCUAUCUCCCCAGGUUUUGUGUCGGUGCCACAGUUGGUGGGAACCUGGGAGCUCAUGGAAGCUGAGCACCGGGCUGUUGGGCACAGUGCUGUGUACAGGAAUCAGGUUUAAGUAUCAUUUCCUGAAAGCUUUCCCUCCAGCUUGUAGCAUGAACAAUCUGAGGUCAAGUUUGGCAGCUCGGUGAGCAACUUCUGUGAGUUUUGGUGCUUUUCUCUGUUCCCUUUGCAGGCAGGAUUUUCUUUAUGCUUUUCUUUCUCUUUCUCAAUAUUCUCCCUAUUGUUUCACUUG
ensembl:lncRNA